GACGAACGCUGGCGGCGUGCUUAACACAUGCAAGUCGAACGAAGAGCGAUGGAAGCUUGCUUCUAUCAAUCUUAGUGGCGAACGGGUGAGUAACGCGUAAUCAACCUGCCCUUCAGAGGGGGACAACAGUUGGAAACGACUGCUAAUACCGCAUACGAUCUAAUCUCGGCAUCGAGGAUAGAUGAAAGGUGGCCUCUACAUGUAAGCUAUCACUGAAGGAGGGGAUUGCGUCUGAUUAGCUAGUUGGAGGGGUAACGGCCCACCAAGGCGAUGAUCAGUAGCCGGUCUGAGAGGAUGAACGGCCACAUUGGGACUGAGACACGGCCCAGACUCCUACGGGAGGCAGCAGUGGGGAAUCUUCCGCAAUGGACGAAAGUCUGACGGAGCAACGCCGCGUGAGUGAUGACGGCCUUCGGGUCGUAAAGCUCUGUUAAUCGGGACGAAAGGCCUUCUUGCGAAUAGUGAGAAGGAUUGACGGUACCGGAAUAGAAAGCCACGGCUAACUACGUG
rnacentral:rRNA from 1 species